rnacentral:rRNA from 1 species
GACGAACCGUCCAAACGUUAUUCGGAAUCACUGGGCUUACAGAGUUCGUAGGCGGUCUGGAAAGUUGGGUGUGAAAUCCCUCGGCUCAACCGAGGAACUGCGCUUGAAACUACCAGACUCGAGGGAGAUAGAGGAAAGCGGAACUGAUGGUGGAGCGGUGAAAUGCGUUGAUAUCAUCAGGAACACCGGUGGCGAAGGCGGCUUUCUGGGUCUUACCUGACGCUGAGGCGCGAAAGCUAGGGGAGCAAACAGG